UACGAAGGGGGCUAGCGUUGCUCGGAAUCACUGGGCGUAAAGCGCACGUAGGCGGCUUCUUAAGUCAGGGGUGAAAUCCUGGAGCUCAACUCCAGAACUGCCUUUGAUACUGAGGAGCUUGAGUCCGGGGAGAGGUGAGUGGAACUGCGAGUGUAGAGGUGAAAUUCGUAGAUAUUCGCAAGAACACCAGUGGCGAAGGCGGCUCACUGGCCCGGUACUGACGCUGAGGUGCGAAAGCGUGGGGAGCAAACAGG
rnacentral:rRNA from 1 species